rnacentral:tRNA from 1 species
GGGCCCGUAGCUCAAUUGGCUAGAGCGCCUCAUUUGCAAUGAGGAGGUUGCUGGUUCGACUCCAGUCGGGUCCACAA